UAAUACGGGAGGCAGCAGUAGGGAAUCUUCCGCAAUGGACGAAAGUCUGACGGAGCAACGCCGCGUGAACGAUGAAGGCCUUCGGGUCGUAAAGUUCUGUUGUUAGGGAAGAACAAGUACCAGAGUAACUGCUGGUACCUUGACGGUACCUAACCAGAAAGCCACGGCUAACUACGUGCCAGCAGCCGCGGUAAUACGUAGGUGGCAAGCGUUGUCCGGAAUUAUUGGGCGUAAAGCGCGCGCAGGUGGUUUCUUAAGUCUGAUGUGAAAGCCCACGGCUCAACCGUGGAGGGUCAUUGGAAACUGGGGAACUUGAGUGCAAAAGAGGAAAGUGGAAUUCCAAGUGUAACGGUGAAAUGCCUAAAGAUUUGGAGGAACACCAGUGGCGAAGGCGACUUUCUGGUCUGUAACUGACACUGAGGCGCGAAAGCGUGGGGAGCGAACAGGAUUAGAUACCCUGGUAGUCCACGCCGUAAACGAUGAGUGCUAAGUGUUAGAGGGUUUCCGCCCUUUAGUGCUGCAGCAAACGCAUUAAGCACUCCGC
rnacentral:rRNA from 1 species